rnacentral:hammerhead_ribozyme from 1 species
AUUCCGAAGAAGAGUCCCAAACUAGGACGAAACAGCUGUCCUGUAU